rnacentral:lncRNA from 1 species
AAAGACUAGACGCAACAACACUAACGCUAGCUAGGUACGCGUAUGUGUUUGUGGAGGUUGUAGUUGCUUUAGUGUAGUCGCUUUAGUUGCUUUUCGGUGAAUUUCAGUGAGUUUCAGUGUCAGAGGGUUUUUUUAGGUGUGUCAGAGGGUUUUUUUAGGUUGUUAGCUAGCGUAUCUCUUCAUGAUACCGUGACGAGAGGGGCAUGGAGCAGAGGGGCAUGGAGCAGAAUUUCAACGGCAGGAAUUUCCGGAUUCGUUCAACCCUGUUGCCAGCAACGUUGAACGUUGGAAAAGAUAGACCCAGUUUGAGUAAGUUGACCAACAAGAGGGAAGAGAAGAGGAAAGUGAGGUUCCAGGCCCAUCUGGGCUCAACACUGAGACUCUCCACCAAACUCUGUAUGAGUUUGUUCUGAUAGAACCUUGAUGGAUUCAAACAGGAGGAGACCAUGGACUGUCUGUGAGUUACUUGAAGCUAAAGAGCUGAUUUACUCUGUGCUGCUUUUAGUUUGUUUGUUUUCUCUGGCUUUGUCUUCCUUCUUGUGUUAAAACUGACUUUUCUUGUUGUGUUACUUCUCUUAAAACUGGUGUGUUAGUGUAAAUAAAUUACAAUAAAUAGUCUAAAAUAAAAUAUAA